GCAUAUAGCAUUACUUUUGUCAUAUUAUCCAGUCACCUCUUGAUUUUGAGAAAGUCAGACUUCACUGACAUCUGAUUAACUGCCACAUCCACCCUCAAGAAGCCCAUCCUGUGUGGGAGGCAAGACAAGUCCAGAUGACACCAACCAAGACAAUAUCAAAAGACAUAAUUACCAUAGGAGAGAUGGUGGACUUUCCUUCUCGGCAAUGGCAAGACCUAACCCUGCUCCACCUCCUGAGUGUGGCAUUACAGGUGUUUACAUCAAUCUCCAACUUGGACUAGUAUCAGUUCUUGCAAGGGAAAAAGGUGAAACUGCAGAAACACCUAAUUCAUGGACCAGUUUAAUUCGAUUCUACUGGAAUACGAGGCCAAAUGUUUGACUUCCCUCAGGAAGGCAACAUGAGUUAAGAAAACAGCACUUUAUGGAAUAUUCCCAAAGAGCCCAAUUUGAUAAUUGAAAAAGAAAAUGAAAAUUUUCCAGACACCAAAGUGUAUGCUUCUGCAUGGAGAAGACAACUUUGCUAAACUUUGGGGAAAGAGAAAAGAUAAAGCUGGGUUCUGCAUCAUGAAAAAGACUCCAAUAGUACUAAUACCUGCUAAGUCUUGCCUCUAAGUCUACUCAGAAGAGAUGCUCAAAGAAGAACAAGCAAGGACCAAGGCUGUUUGCACCAUGAAGACCUAUCUUCAUCUUUCUAAAGCUGCACUAUCCACUACAGUGGCUACUAGCCUCAUGUGGCUAUUUAAAUUUAUUAAAAUUAAAUAAAAUUUAAAACUCAGUUCCUCAGUCAUAACAGCCACAUGCAGUUAGUGGCUACCAUACAGAACAGCACAGAUAUAGAACAUUUCCGUCAUCAAAGAAACUACUAUUGGAUACUGCUGUAAAGGUUAAACAUAAGUGUGCCCUCUGUUCUGAAAGCCACAGAAACUGGGCUGGAGAGACACUAAUUGGCUGUAUUAUCUGGGUCAAUUCCUUUCCUAUUUCUAGGUGUCCUUUCCUAUUUCUACACCAUCU